UACGUAGGGGGCAAGCGUUGUCCGGAAUCAUUGGGCGUAAAGAGCGUGUAGGCGGCUUGGUAAGUCCGCUGUGAAAGUCCAGGGCUCAACCCUGGAAAGCCGGUGGAAACUGUCAAGCUUGAGUCCGGAAGAGGCGAGUGGAAUUCCGAGUGUAGAGGUGAAAUUCGUAGAUAUUCGGAGGAACACCAGUGGCGAAGGCGGCUCACUGGCCCGAUACUGACGCUGAGGCGCGAAAGCGUGGGGAGCAAACAGG
rnacentral:rRNA from 1 species